rnacentral:lncRNA from 1 species
GAAGAAAGGCCAACCUCUUGUUGAAGGAACUCGAUAUGUCCUCUCUACAAGAUCUUGAAAGCUUUUGUAAUCCUUAAAAAUCAUGAUACUAGCAAUGUACCGUCAUUAAUUUUUGCAUAGAUAUGAAACUAGAUUAAUCGAUAUCAAUGAAUAUAGCAGGUUUAGGGGCUUCGAAGUAGACGGUUCAACUUUUAAUUUCAAAGAGUUUAUCCACACAAUCAAAGAGAACUACAGUUUGAAGUAAGUUACCAAGAGUGCUAAAAAUGAUCUUAAUCUUCUAUUUCAUAAAAUGUGUAAAUGCUAAAAGGUACUAAGUGAUGUAGAUAUGUUUAUAUGUGGCAUGCUUUAACUGGAU